AUGCCAAUGGAGAGGUCGGUGUCGCUGGCUGAGAGGAGCACCGCCGCCGCCGCGCCGGCCAACGACCUCCGGUGCCACAGCGCCUCCUACGCCGUCUCCUACGCGCCCACCAAGGUGCAGCGCGACAGGAGCACCACCUCCCUGUCCCGCCCCGUGGCGGCGACCGCCGUGCAGCGGAGCGGCAGCACGAGGACCGUCUCCGGCGCCGGCGCCGGCCCCACCCCGGGGCUGAACCUCCGGUGCUACAGCGCCUCCUACAAGCCUUUCUCCGACGGCACCGCCCAGGCCAAGGGGCCCAACGCCGCCACCACCACCGCAGCCACCUGGUCCUCCGCCGGCCGCCGCUCCCUCAACCUGAGGAGCUACACCCCCUCCUUCUCCGCAUUGGUCGACAACGAGGCCCCGGCCCCGGCCAAGACGGACGAGGCGGAGGCGGAGCUGCAGAGGAAGAAGCGGCUGGUGGCCUACAAGGUGUACGACGUGGAGGGCAAGGUGAAGGGGUCGGUGCGGCGCAGCGUCAAGUGGAUCAAGGUCAAGUGCUCCCGCGCCGUCUACGGCUGGUGA
rnacentral:rRNA from 1 species